rnacentral:rRNA from 1 species
CGUACUGACGGAAAUCAACUUUUCGCUGCGUAUUGCGGGCGAAUGAGAGCUUCACGGUCUUCUUUUUUGUAAAUGCGUGAUCUUUGGAGGUCCUUUUUCGUAUGGUAGGUCAACGUCGGAUUCGAUCGUUAUAAAUGAUCGGAGGAAUGUAGCUUUCGAUUUCCGAUUCGAAGUGUUAUAGCCCUUUGGGUAGAUGUGACGAUUGGGAUCGAGGAUUGCAAACGAAUACCCUUUGGGCUAUCCGUCUGGCCUCUGAUAGUCGCUUGGGUGCUGAAACCUUGCUUAUGGUAUUCAAGUUGGCGGUCAAUAGGUUAGAACGAGAUUACA